UACGUAGGGUGCGAGCGUUGUCCGGAAUUAUUGGGCGUAAAGGGCUCGUAGGCGGUUUGUCGCGUCGGGAGUGAAAACCUCGGGCUUAACUCGGGGCUUGCUUUCGAUACGGGCAGACUAGAGGUAUGCAGGGGAGAACGGAAUUCCCGGUGUAGCGGUGAAAUGCGCAGAUAUCGGGAGGAACACCGGUGGCGAAGGCGGUUCUCUGGGCCUGACCUGACGCUGAGGAGCGAAAGCGUGGGGAGCGAACAGG
rnacentral:rRNA from 1 species